UGGGGGAAUAUUGGGCAAUGGGGCGCAAGCCUGACCCAGCAACGCCGCGUGAAGGAAGAAGGCUUUCGGGUUGUAAACUUCUUUUGUCAGGGACGAGUAGAAGACGGUACCUGACGAAUAAGCCACGGCUAACUCCGUGCCAGCAGCCGCGGUAAUACGGAGGGUGCAAGCGUUAUCCGGAUUUAUUGGGUUUAAAGGGUGCGUAGGCUGUAAGUCAAGUCAGCGGUGAAAAGUCGGGGCUAAACCUUGAGGGUGCCGUUGAAACUGAUUUACUAGAAUGUGGAUGAUGCCGGCGGAAUGUGUCAAAUAGCGGUGAAAUGCAUAGAUAUGACACAGAAGGCCGAUUGCGAAGGCAGCUGGCAAAGGCACGAUUGACGCUGAGGCACGAAGU
rnacentral:rRNA from 1 species